rnacentral:piRNA from 2 species
GGGGCUGGAGAGAUGGCUCAGCAGUUUA